GACGAACGCUGGCGGCGUGCCUAAUACAUGCAAGUAGAACGCAGUUGCGAACGGGUGAGUAACGCGUAGGUAACUGCCUCAUAGCGGGGGAUAACUAUUGGAACCGAUAGCUAAUCCCGCAUACUGUGAGAUUGACCUACUUUGUAUUAGCUAGUUGGUGAGGUAAAGGCUCACCAAGGCGACGAUACAUAGCCUACCUGAGAGGGAGGGUGGCCACACUUGGACUGAGACACGGCCCAGACUCCUACGGGAGGCAGCAGUAGGGAAUCUUCGGCAAUGGACGGAAGUCUGACCGCGAAACGCCGCGUGAGUGAAGAAGGUUUUCGGAUCGUAAAGCUCUGUUGUUAGAGAAGCGUUAACUAACCAGAAAGGGACGGCUAACUACGUGCCAGCAGCCGCGGUAAUAC
rnacentral:rRNA from 1 species